rnacentral:rRNA from 1 species
GACGAACGCUGGCGGCGUGCUUAACACAUGCGAGUCGAACGGAAAGGCCCUGCUUUUGUGGGGUGCUCGAGUGGCGAACGGGUGAGUAACACGUGAGUAACCUGCCCUUGACUUUGGGAUAACUUCAGGAAACUGGGGCUAAUACCGGAUAGGAGCUCCUGCUGCAUGGUGGGGGUUGGAAAGUUUCGGCGGUUGGGGAUGGACUGGCGGCUUAUCGGCUUGUUGGUGGGGUAGUGGCUUACCAAGGCUUUGACGGGUAGCCGGCCUGAGAGGGUGACCGGCCACAUUGGGACUGAGGUACGGCGCAGACUCCUACGGGAGGCAGCAGUGGGGAAUAUUGCACAAUGGGCGGAAGCCUGAUGCAGCAACGCCGCGUGCGGGAUGACGGCCUUCGGGUUGUAAACCGCUUUCGCCUGUGACGAAGCGUGAGUGACGGUAAUGGGUAAAGAAGCACCGGCUAACUACGUG